AGAGAGUAGCCCGAGAGGACACUGAGAAACUGGUCCCAGCCCUACGGGGUGCAGCAGCGCGAACCUUUACAAUGCACGCAAGUGUGAUAAGGGGACCCUAAGUGCUCAUGAAUUUCAUGGGCUUUUGCCAAGAGUAAAUAUCUUGGAGAAUAAGUGGUGGGUAAGACUGGUGCCAGCCGCCGCGGUAACACCAGCGCCACGAGUGGCAACCACGUUUAUUGGGCCUAAAGCGUCCGUAGCCGGUUUGGUAAAUCUCUUGUGAAAUCGUCAGGCUCAACCUGACGGCGUGCAUGAGACACUACCAGACUUGAGACCGGGAGGAGUCAAAGGUAUUUUAGGGGGAGCGGUAAAAUGUGAUAAUCCCUAGAAGAUCACCUAUGGCGAAGGCAUUUGACCAGAACGGAUCUGACGGUCAGGGACGAAGGCUAGGGGAGCGAUCCGGAUUAGAUACCCGAGUAGUCCUAGCAGUAAACGCUGCGAGCUAGAUGUUGCGCUUCUCACGAGGAUGUGCAGUAUCGAAACGAAGGUGAUAAGCUCGCCGCCUGGGAAGUACGGUCGCAAGACUGAAACUUUAAGGAAUUGGCGGGGGAGCACCACAAGGGGUGCGGCGUGCGGUUUAAUCUAACUCAACGCAGAGAACCUUACUAGAAGCGACGGCAGGAAGAAGGUCAGUCUGAAGGGCUUGCCUGACGAGCCGAGAGGUAGUGCAUGGCCGCCGUCAGCUCGUGCCGUAAGGUGUCCAGUUAAGUCUGGCAACGAGCGAGACCUAUACCUGCUAUUGCUAACGGCUAUAUAUAGGACCGAGCACUUUGCAGGGACUGCCUUGGAAACAAGGAGGAAGGUGU
rnacentral:rRNA from 1 species